rnacentral:rRNA from 1 species
CAGCCGCCGCGGUAAUACCGGCGGCCCGAGUGGCGGCCACUCUUAUUGGGCCUAAAGCGUCCGUAGCCGGGCUGGUAAGUCCCCCGGGAAAUCUGGCGGCUUAACCGUCAGAAUUCCGGGGGAUACUGCCAGCCUAGGGACCGGGAGAGGCCGGGGGUAUUCCCGGGGUAGGGGUGAAAUCCUGUAAUCCCGGGAGGACCACCUGUGGCGAAGGCGCCCGGCUGGAACGGGUCCGACGGUGAGGGACGAAGGCCAGGGGAGCGAACCGGAUUAGAUGCCCGGGUAGUCCUGGCUGUAAAGGAUGCGGGCUAGGUGUCGGGUGAGCUUCGAGCUCGCCCGGUGCCGGAGGGAAGCCGUUAAGCCCGCCGCCUGGGGAGUACGGCCGCAAGGCUGAAACUUAAAGGAAUUGGCGGG